CGCCUUGCCAGCCCGCUACAGAAACUUAAAGGAAUUGACGGGGGCCCGCACAAGCGGUGGAGCAUGUGGUUUAAUUCGAUGAUACGCGAGGAACCUUACCUGGGCUCAAAUGUAUGUUGACGUAUUCUGAAAGGGAUACUUCUUCGGACAAUAUACAAGGUGCUGCAUGGUUGUCGUCAGCUCGUGCCGUGAGGUGUCGGGUUAAGUCCCAUAACGAGCGCAACCCCUAUUGCUAGUUACCAUCAUUAAGUUGGGGACUCUAGCGAGACUGCCAGUGAUAAACUGGAGGAAGGUGGGGAUGACGUCAAAUCAUCAUGCCCCUUAUGACCUGGGCUACAAACGUGAUACAAUGGCUGGAACAAAGGGAUGCGAAGCAGUGAUGUGGAGCGAAACCCAUAAAAACAGUCUCAGUUCGGAUUGAAGUCUGCAACUCGACUUCAUGAAGUCGGAAUCGCUAGUAAUCGCGGAUCAGAACGCCGCGGUGAAUACGUUCUCGGGGUUU
rnacentral:rRNA from 1 species